UACGUAGGGUGCGAGCGUUGUCCGGAAUUAUUGGGCGUAAAGGGCUCGUAGGCGGUUUGUCGCGUCGGGAGUGAAAACACACAGCUUAACUGUGUGCUUGCUUCCGAUACGGGCAGACUAGAGGUAUGCAGGGGAGAACGGAAUUCCUGGUGUAGCGGUGAAAUGCGCAGAUAUCAGGAGGAACACCCGUGGCGAAAGCGGCUCUCUGGGACGGUACUGACGCUGAGACGCGAAAGCGUGGGGAGCAAACAGG
rnacentral:rRNA from 1 species